GACGAACGCUGGCGGCGUGCUUAACACAUGCAAGUCGAACGGAAAGGCCCCCACUUUUUUGGUGGGGGUGCUCGAGUGGCGAACGGGUGAGUAACACGUGGGUGAUCUGCCCUGCACUUCGGGAUAAGCUUGGGAAACUGGGUCUAAUACCGGAUAGGACCAUGGUUUAGUGUCUCAUGGUGGAAAAAUGUUUUUUUGGUGUAGGAUGAGCCCGCGGCCUAUCAGCUUGUUGGUGGGGUAAUGGCCUACCAAGGCGUCGACGGGUAGCCGGCCUGAGAGGGUGGACGGCCACAUUGGGACUGAGAUACGGCCCAGACUCCUACGGGAGGCAGCAGUGGGGAAUAUUGCACAAUGGGCGCAAGCCUGAUGCAGCGACGCCGCGUGGGGGAUGACGGCCUUCGGGUUGUAAACUCCUUUCGUUAGGGACGAAGCCGCACCUGUUUUGGGUGUGG
rnacentral:rRNA from 1 species